rnacentral:lncRNA from 1 species
UCUCAUGACCCUCUUGCUUUACGAGUUCAGCAACCGGAGCUGCUAAACAGUCAGCACUCACCUUUUGCACCAGUAUGUCUUUAUCAUCCCUAUAAAAGUACUGCAAGAUGCCUAAACACAUCCUGCAUACAAUCGGUUGAACUUCUGAUUCCUUACAUGUAGAAGGAUCCGUUGUCUUCUCCUUUCCUCCACUACAUUCAAAAAGUAUCCCGUACUGGUCCAAAUGUUCAGAUUCCCCAAGAACAGAAUGCACCAUAGAUUUUGAAAUGCAUGGGCGAAAGUAGAAGUGAUCUCUGAAUCCAAACAGUCUGAGGAUGCAUCUG